rnacentral:rRNA from 1 species
GAUGAACGCUGACAGAAUGCUUAACACAUGCAAGUCAACUUGAAUUUGGGUUUUUAACUUAGGUUUGGGUGGCGGACGGGUGAGUAACGCGUAAAGAACUUGCCUCACAGGUAGGGACAACAUUUGGAAACGAAUGCUAAUACCUAAUAUUAUGAUAAUAGGGCAUCCUAUAAUUAUGAAAGCUAAAAGCGCUGUGAGAGAGCUUUGCGUCCCAUUAGCUAGUUGGAGAGGUAACGGCUCACCAAGGCGAUGAUGGGUAGCCGGCCUGAGAGGGUGAUCGGCCACAAGGGGACUGAGACACGGCCCUUACUCCUACGGGAGGCAGCAGUGGGGAAUAUUGGACAAUGGACCAAGAGUCUGAUCCAGCAAUUCUGUGUGCACGAUGAAGUUUUUCGGAAUGUAAAGUGCUUUCAGUUGGGAAGAAAUAAAUGACGGUACCAACAGAAGAAGUGACGGCUAAAUACGUGCCAGCAGCCGCGGUAAUACGUAUGUCACGAGCGUUAUCCGGAUUUAUUGGGCGUAAAGCGCGUCUAGGUGGUUAUAUAAGUCUGAUGUGAAAAUGCAGGGCUCAACUCUGUAUUGCGUUGGAAACUGUAUAACUAGAGUACUGGAGAGGUAAGCGGAACUACAAGUGUAGAGGUGAAAUUCGUAGAUAUUUGUAGGAAUGCCGAUGGGGAAGCCAGCUUACUGGACAGAUACUGACGCUGAAGCGCGAAAGCGUGGGUAGCAAACAGG